rnacentral:rRNA from 1 species
AUUGAACGCUGGCGGCAGGCCUAACACAUGCAAGUCGAGCGAGCGGCGGACGGGUGAGUAAUGUCUGGGGAUCUGCCCGAUGGAGGGGGAUAACUACUGGAAACUGUUGCUAAUACCGCCUACUAUCUGAUGAACCCAUAUGGGAUUAGCUAGUAGGUGGGGUAAAGGCUCACCUGGGCGACGAUCUCUAGCUGGUCUGAGAGGAUGAUCAGCCAAACUGGAACGGAGAAACGGCCCAGACUCCUACGGGAGGAAGAAGUGGGGAAUAUUGCAAAAGGGGGGCAAGCCGGAGGAAGCCAGGCGGCGUGGAUGAAGAAGGCCUUCGGGUUGUAAAGCAUGUUCAGCGGGGAGGCGUUACCCGAAGAAGAAGCAACGGCUAACUCCGUGCCAGCAGCCGCGGUAAUUC